rnacentral:rRNA from 1 species
UACGUAGGGGGCUAGCGUUGUCCGGAAUCAUUGGGCGUAAAGAGCGUGUAGGCGGCCCGGUAAGUCCGCUGUGAAAGUCGGGGGCUCAACCCUCGAAUGCCGGUGGAUACUGUCGGGCUAGAGUGCGGAAGAGGCGAGUGGAAUUCCUGGUGUAGCGGUGAAAUGCGCAGAUAGUCAGGAGGAACACCGAUUGCGAAGGCAGCUCGCUGGGACGGUACUGACGCUGAGACGCGAAAGCGUGGGGAGCGAACAGG